UCCCACUAUUUAAAAAAUAUCGAACACAACCAGAUUAUAGAUAAUGUAUACUAUUAAAAAGUGCACAUAAAUAUGUUCCUAGUGCAGUUAUGUCUGUUGACAAUCUAUAGGCGAACACAAGAGAUAUAUAACAUGAAUGUCAAUGUGAUGUUACAUAUAAUAAUCAUAUAUAUAGGUAGAAGGGGCUUUACAUUUGUGUCAAUUUUUACAAAAUCCAAUCUUUCAUUUGCGCCACAAGGUUAUAUAUCAUUUGCGUCAUUUCGCAAGUAACAUAUAAUGAAAAAGGUUAAAUUUUCAUCACUACAUGGUGAAUAUAUAAGAUUUAUUUCAGAGUAUUACCCCAGGUUACUAAGCAAGUUCAUAUUCCUUUCUAAUAGAAAACUGAUAGUCACUUAGUUUUAAAACUAUAAUAGUAUUAAUCAACAUGUUUGAGGUGUCAAGAUGGAAAUUCUAAAUUCUGAGACAAACAGACCCUAUUAUUCUCAAUUGAAUUCUUUCAUAUUUUUCAUGUUGGGGCAGUUUCUAGCCAACAAUACAGUAUGAGUUUUUCUCAUAUUUGAAGGCCAUACCAUUGCCUAUAAUUACUUUCAUCCACUUCAUUUGAACUUUGGUGGACAGUUUCUCAUUGGCAAUCAUAACACAUUUCCUUUUUUUUUUUUAUAUAUAUAGAGGAAAUAACUUUUUUAUGACCAUGCAUCGGUUAAUCUAUGUACAUGCUUCAUCUGAGCCUUCCUUGCAAGUCUUGUGUCAGACAAACGUUUAGUUAAACUCCAGUGGAUGGUGCUUUCUUUACGGUUUUAGGAUCUAAAUUUUGGAAUUAUAAAAUUAUCAUGAAAAUUCUCUUAUUUAUCAGUGUAUAGUGCUUUCAUUAUGGUUAAGAUGACUGAAUUUGGAGGAAUAUGUUUUAUCAUGCAAUCAAAAACUGUGUUUUUAAAUUGAUAUUUAAAGUGCCUUUUGAAAACCCUAUUUUCAUAAUCAUCUCAUUUACCUGUUUUUAUCUGUAUUAUUGGUGCAAAUGAAAUGUUUUAUUUUGGCACAAAUAAAAUAUGGUUUGUGGCACCAAUGAAAGAUUAUUUCAAUGUAAAUGAAAGGCUAUUGGUGCAAAAGAAAAGCACUGAGAUAGAUACUUUGAUAAAACAUACCCUUAUAUAAAUGCAAAAUCAAUAUAGAAUAAAAAAAAAACAAUUAGGAACAUUGCCUACUCAAGAGUGAUUCAUUUUUUGUGAUAUUAAAGCUUGGUUGAUUGGUGG
rnacentral:lncRNA from 1 species